GGGGGCGAUUGGCUUCGACGGGUAAUGAAGAGCUUAUAAUUGCAUGUGGAGCAUUACUCUAUAAACUCCUUAAACUUUAGGGUACAUUCUAAAUAGCGAAUAUAGCUAUACUGCUGUUGCUUAAUUAAGCUUAACAGCCAUCUCUUAGUUAUUUGUAUGCGGUAACUUUUCGAGGUGUCAAUUAGCAUGCUAUGUUAAGUCUCUACCUGAUGAUUCUUAAAUGAAAAUAACUUUACUUCGGUAAAUAUUCAGGAUAAUUUUAUUUUAUUGUGACUUUUCAAGAAAAUAAAAUGAAAUCAAAAAAGAGUCUAAACAUGUAGAUAUUAUUUGGUAUUCUUAUUCGGACCGCGGUUCGAUUCCGCGCGCCUCCACGA
rnacentral:tmRNA from 1 species